AAUAGAAGAAAAGUCAGUCAUUCUGUCCCAGGUCUACUGUGGUCAAACUUUUCAGAAAAUCUACUGUGUUAGUAAGAACAAAGAAAAAUGAAACAGAAUCCUGGAGUUCCUCGACCUCUGUCUAGACUGAAUAAAAGACUACACAGAAGGAGUAUUAGGACCGUUUCAUACGGUAAAAGUAAACAGUAAAGGUAAUUCAGUUCUUGGUGUUAACACAGUUCAGCUAAUACCAAACUCCACUGACUCAACAGCAGCAUUUUUGUUUUCUGUUUUUCUGCUUUUUACAAACAUUAUUAUUCUUCAUUUUAUUUUUCAUGCUGAAUAUUGUGUAGAUGUGAG